rnacentral:snRNA from 1 species
GCAGGACAUAACGCUAAAACCGGAGCAAUACAGAGAAGAUUAGCAUGGCCCUCACCCAAAGAUGACACGCAAAUUUGUGAAGUAUUCCUUUUUUUUUUUUUUU